rnacentral:rRNA from 1 species
GCAUGCUNGCGGUGUGGGNCACUCNUCUUAACAUGCAAGUCGAACGAUGAAGCCCUUCGGGGUGGAUUAGUGGCGAACGGGUGAGUAACACGUGGGCAAUCUGCCCUUCACUCUGGGACAAGCCCUGGAAACGGGGUCUAAUACCGGAUAACACCUGCCUGGGCAUCUGGGUGGGUUAAAAGCUCCGGCGGUGAAGGAUGAGCCCGCGGCCUAUCAGCUUGUUGGUGAGGUAGUGGCUCACCAAGGCGACGACGGGUAGCCGGCCUGAGAGGGCGACCGGCCACACUGGGACUGAGACACGGCCCAGACUCCUACGGGAGGCAGCAGUGGGGAAUAUUGCACAAUGGGCGAAAGCCUGAUGCAGCGACGCCGCGUGAGGGAUGACGGCCUUCGGGUUGUAAACCUCUUUCAGCAGGGAAGAAGCGAGAGUGACGGUACCUGCAGAAGAAGCGCCGGCUAACUACGUGCCAGCAGCCGCGGUAAUACGUAGGGCGCAAGCGUUGUCCGGAAUUAUUGGGCGUAAAGAGCUCGUAGGCGGCUUGUCACGUCGGGUGUGAAAGCCCGGGGCUUAACCCCGGGUCUGCAUUCGAUACGGGCUAGCUAGAGUGUGGUAGGGGAGAUCGGAAUUCCUGGUGUAGCGGUGAAAUGCGCAGAUAUCAGGAGGAACACCGGUGGCGAANGCNGGAUCUCUGGGCCAUUACUGACGCUGAGGAGCGAAAGCGUGGGGAGCGAACAGGAUUAGAUACCCCUGGUAGUCCACGCCGUAAACGGUGGGAACUAGGUGUUGGCNACAUUUCACGUCGUCGGNGCCGCANUNACGCAUNANUUCCCCGCCUGGGGANACGGCCNCAGGCUNAAACUCAANGAAUUGACGGGGGCCCCCCAAACANNGAANNUNUGGNUUANUCCACCCACNCAAAANCUU